rnacentral:rRNA from 1 species
CGUAGGGUGCGAGCGUUAAUCGGAAUUACUGGGCGUGAAGCGUGCGCAGGCGGUUAUAUAAGACAGAUGUGAAAUCCCCGGGCUCAACCUGGGAACUGCAUUUGUGACUGUAUUGCUAGAGUACGGCAGAGGGGGAUGGAAUUCCGCGUGUAGCAGUGAAAUGCGUAGAUAUGCGGAGGAACACCGAUGGCGAAGGCAAUCCCCUGGGCCUGUACUGACGCUCAUGCACGAAAGCGUGGGGAGCAAACAGGAUUAGAUACCCUGGUAGUCCACGCCCUAAACGAUGUCAACUGGUUGUUGGGUCUUCACUGACUCAGUAACGAAGCUAACGCGUGAAGUUGACCGCCUGGGGAGUACGGCCGCAAGGUUG